CCUACGGGAGGCAGCAGUCGAGAAUCAUUCACAAUGGGGGAAACCCUGAUGGUGCGACGCCGCGUGGGGGAAUGAAGGUCUUCGGAUUGUAAACCCCUGUCAUGUGGGAGCAAAUUAAAAAGAUAGUACCACAAGAGGAAGAGACGGCUAACUCUGUGCCAGCAGCCGCGGUAAUACAGAGGUCGCAAGCGUUGUUCGGAACCACUGGGCUUAAAGCGUGCGUAGGCUGUUUCGUAAGUCGUGUGUGAAAGGCGCGGGCUCAACCCGCGGACGGCACAUGAGACUGCGAGACUAGAGUAAUGGAGGGGGAACCGGAAUUCUCGGUGUAGCAGUGAAAUGCGUAGAUAUCGAGAGGAACACUCGUGGCGAAGGCGGGUUCCUGGACAUUAACUGACGCUGAGGCACGAAGGCCAGGGGAGCGAAAGGGAUUAGAUACCCUUGUAGUC
rnacentral:rRNA from 1 species